AUUACACCUUAGUGUUAGUCUGUAAGUCUCAAGCCCCAAGUCAAAAAAAAAUAGUUCAUUUAAAUUCAAGAAAGACAUUUCAUCGGAAUUGUAUGUUAUUAUGAGAUUUACUGAUUCUUAGUAAGGACGUUGUGUUAAAUUGAAAUUCCUCGUUAAAAUGAAAUUGGAAUUAACUAAAAAUAGCCCACAUAAGAAGCAACCAAGACAUAUUUUGAAUGUCGAUGAAAUAACCGAUGUUUCAAAAAACCCACCCGAGGAAAUUAUUAUUGAAAAGAAUCUUAACCCGUUAAAAGUAAAUAAGACGGGAAACCAGAACUUAGAUUCUGCUGAUAUAAAUGAUUUGUCUGCAUUACAACUUGGUAAUGCAAAAUUUGGUUGGCUAGACAAAUUAAAACUGGGUCUUUUAAUAAUACUUAUUAUUGUUUACAUUGGUUUCCUUAUGAAAAGUCUUAUAUAUGAAAUAAAGAAGAUGAGGGAUGUUCAGCACAUGAUAAAUAGGAUGAGGCCAAUAAUUGCAGCUCUCUAUAAGAUAGAUGCGAAUGUAGUGUAGUGGAAGGGAAAUGCAGAGAGCUCUCAACUAUCAACUAUCAUCUCAACAAUCUGCCCUUACCAGAGGAAGGCUACUCUAAUUUUUUAGAUAUGUCUUCUUGGUAAUGAUAAUCUUAGAAAAACAACAUGUCUUCAAAUAUUGAUUAAUGUUAUUGCAGGUUGACAUUCUUGUUGAAUGAGGUAGAGGAGAGAGUAGGAAAAGCAAUCUUGAUCUCGCGAGAUCUUGUGCUAUUUUUCAGA